rnacentral:lncRNA from 1 species
GACAGUUUGUUUUGCUCAGUCUACUGAUCUAAUUAUUCAUCUAAUCUAAAAAAUACCUUCACAGCAACAUCCAAAUGUGUUUGACCAGCUGUCUGGGUCCUGUGGUCCCACCAAGUUGGUACAAAAAAUCACCAGGCUCUUCUCCCCAUCUCCCUAUUUUUUCACAGGUAAGGAAACUGAGGCUUAGAGAAGUAAGACAACUUGCUCAAGUCAUGCAGGAGUGUGUGAUUUAACUCAGAAGCCAUGCCUUAGCCUCCACGUUACAUUGUCAAGGCUCAUCUUCACUCCCCAGGGAAAAAGACUUGAAAUAGAUGGAUAAGAGAAUCGGUGUGUUUCAUGCACGAGCCUGUGGGAGUUGGCAUUCUGAGAGCAGCAUUCUUUCUCCCAGAGAGAAUCUGAAGGUCUGGUGUGGACCCUCCCUGAGAAGCUGCUCUGUCUCGUGGCUGAAAGCCCGUCUGCUUCCAAGGUGUGAAAUCUGUCUUUACCUUGACUCUCUGCCUGAAAAAUAUGCGGGCUCGUGUAAGAUGGGGACCUUGAGCUGUGACGGGAGCAUCUUCAAGCCACAGAGCCCGGCUGUCUCACUUUCUAGUUAA